CGUGUGUGUGUGUGGAAUAAAUGAACGUUGCUCGUUUUCUUACCCAACCGGUUGGAGAAGCCAUGACGAGGCGGCGCGGGGGGAAAAACACGUGGGGUAAAUUAAGGAACAAGAGGUGAGCCCCACAUCACCAUUGCAGCAAUUGAUGUGAUAACGUGCAACUUGUGACAGCCUGAGCUCUGCCUGCCUGUGGUACACCCCUGUCUCCAGCAUAGCCAAGGACCUGUCCCUCUUCCUGCAGUCCCGCUCUCCUAAGUCCAGGACUCAAGACAUAUGGAGACAUUUCUUGAUGUAACCUAUCAGUGGUAAAACCCAGAUGCAGAGAUGCCUUCGAACAGACAGCCCCUUCAUUUUUCCAGAGGUGUGCUUUAAUGAGUGACUCGCCUUCCAAAAAGGGGCCGGCAGAGGGGAAGGACGGCAGAUUCUCCACACAAAUUCAAUAGCUG